GAUGAACGCUAGCUACAGGCUUAACACAUGCAAGUCGAGGGGUAGCAGGGUAGCAAUACCGCUGACGACCGGCGCACGGGUGAGUAACACGUAUCCAACCUUCCCAUAACUCGGGGAUAGCCUUUCGAAAGAAAGAUUAAUACCCGAUAGUACUUUUUCAAGGCAUCUUGAGAAAGUUAAAGAUUUAUUGGUUAUGGAUGGGGAUGCGUUCCAUUAGAUAGUUGGUGAGGUAACGGCCCACCAAGUCUUCGAUGGAUAGGGGUUCUGAGAGGAAGGUCCCCCACAUUGGUACUGAGACACGGACCAAACUCCUACGGGAGGCAGCAGUGAGGAAUAUUGGUCAAUGGGCGAGAGCCUGAACCAGCCAAGUAGCGUGAAGGAUGAAGGUCUUAUGGAUUGUAAACUUCUUUUAUAGUAGAAUAAAGUGAUCCACGUGUGGAUUUUUGUAUGUAUACUAUGAAUAAGGAUCGGCUAACUCCGUGCCAGCCGCCGCGGUAA
rnacentral:rRNA from 1 species